AAUAGACGUUUGAACUUUCAAUUUUGACUGUCAUAUUUUCUAAACCUUUUCAAAUAGUUCAAAAAAUUUUACUUUUUAAGUAGACGUACUAAUUACACGGUCAUUUUAACAAAUAUUAUAGAGAGAGAGAAAGAGAGUUGAACUGGAAUGCUAUUAGUAAUAAAGGGCUCUGUUGCCACCUAUUUAUUUUCAAUGAUGGAACCUUCAAAUCGACGAUCGGCAUCGUUGAAUAUGUUCUAUACCACUUGAAGUAUGUAGAAAUCAAAUUUAAAAUUUUUUUCGACAUCAUUAGUCUGAUGAUCCAAGGAUUUUAAAACUUGUAAUUUUAAUGGUCAAUAUAAAAUGUUUUCUUGUUUAACGGUAUAAAGAUUUUCAAAUUAAUUGAAUUUUAGUUAGAAAAUUUUUAAAAUUAUUUAGAACAAGAUUUAUACUCUUGACUUUAAUUGCAAGACUCCUAUCAUCACUUUUUAAAGAAUAUUUAUUUUCAAUGUUUAUUUUUGUGUCCAUGUGAUGGAUAAGAGAACAAUAUCAAAAAAUUAUUAAAUUUGGUUUCUAAAUGCUUGCACGUAGUAUAAAUCAUAUUCAACGGUGCUGAUCGUUCAUUUGGGGGCUCUAUCAUCGAAAACAAAUAAGUAGCAACGGAGCUCGUUUGCUUCUGAUAGCAUUCCAACUUAGCGCACUCUCUCUCUCUCUCUCUCUCUCUCUCUCUCUCUCUCUCUAUAUAUAUAUAUAUAUAUAUAAUUCUAUAAAACUUUAAAAUAUUUUAAAAACCUUUUUUGAUAAUUGAGCAUUACUAUAGUGUCUCUGGAGCUUAACUGUCUGACUGACUACAGCAUCAGUGGCUUGUCGACACAUCUGUAAAAUGUCAGAACUAGUCAGAAUCGUUUUGGCGUAAAAUAUACACGAAAACGGACUCAGAGUUGUGAAAGUUGGAGUUUGGAUACUGAAAUAUGCAAAAAUAUGAUUUUGAAUAUUGUGUACCAGUACCUGAGAGAGG
rnacentral:lncRNA from 1 species